rnacentral:rRNA from 1 species
UUGAACGCUGGCGGCAGGCCUAACACAUGCAAGUCGAGCGGUAGCACAGAGAGCUUGCUCUCGGGUGACGAGCGGCGGACGGGUGAGUAAUGUCUGGGAAACUGCCUGAUGGAGGGGGAUAACUACUGGAAACGGUAGCUAAUACCGCAUAAUGUCGCAAGACCAAAGUGGGGGACCUUCGGGCCUCAUGCCAUCAGAUGUGCCCAGAUGGGAUUAGCUAGUAGGUGGGGUAACGGCUCACCUAGGCGACGAUCCCUAGCUGGUCUGAGAGGAUGACCAGCCACACUGGAACUGAGACACGGUCCAGACUCCUACGGGAGGCAGCAGUGGGGAAUAUUGCACAAUGGGCGCAAGCCUGAUGCAGCCAUGCCGCGUGUGUGAAGAAGGCCUUCGGGUUGUAAAGCACUUUCAGCGGGGAGGAAGGCGGUGAGGUUAAUAACCUCAUCGAUUGACGUUACCCGCAGAAGAAGCACCGGCUAACUCCGUGCCAGCAGCCGCGGUAAUACGGAGGGUGCAAGCGUUAAUCGGAAUUACUGGGCGUAAAGCGCACGCAGGCGGUCUGUCAAGUCGGAUGUGAAAUCCCCGGGCUCAACCUGGGAACUGCAUUCGAAACUGGCAGGCUAGAGUCUUGUAGAGGGGGGUAGAAUUCCAGGUGUAGCGGUGAAAUGCGUAGAGAUCUGGAGGAAUACCGGUGGCGAAGGCGGCCCCCUGGACAAAGACUGACGCUCAGGUGCGAAAGCGUGGGGAGCAAACAGGAUUAGAUACCCUGGUGGUCCACGCCGUAAACGAUGUCGAUUUGGAGGUUGUGCCCUUGAGGCGUGGCUUCCGGAGCUAACGCGUUAAAUCGACCGCCUGGGGAGUACGGCCGCAAGGUUAAAACUCAAAUGAAUUGACGGGGGCCCGCACAAGCGGUGGAGCAUGUGGUUUAAUUCGAUGCAACGCGAAGAACCUUACCUGGUCUUGACAUCCACAGAACUUUCCAGAGAUGGAUUGGUGCCUUCGGGAACUGUGAGACAGGUGCUGCAUGGCUGUCGUCAGCUCGUGUUGUGAAAUGUUGGGUUAAGUCCCGCAACGAGCGCAACCCUUAUCCUUUGUUGCCAGCGGUUAGGCCGGGAACUCAAAGGAGACUGCCAGUGAUAAACUGGAGGAAGGUGGGGAUGACGUCAAGUCAUCAUGGCCCUUACGACCAGGGCUACACACGUGCUACAAUGGCAUAUACAAAGAGAAGCGACCUCGCGAGAGCAGGCGGACCUCAUAAAGUAUGUCGUAGUCCGGAUUGGAGUCUGCAACUCGACUCCAUGAAGUCGGAAUCGCUAGUAAUCGUAGAUCAGAAUGCUACGGUGAAUACGUUCCCGGGCCUUGUACACACCGCCCGUCACACCAUGGGAGUGGGUUGCAAAAGAAGUAGGUAGCUUAACCUUCGGGAGGGCGCUUACCACUUUGUGAUUCAUGACUGGGGUG